rnacentral:rRNA from 1 species
CCAUCGGGUUAUGCCGGGCCGACUCUAGAGGAACAGCCGUCGACAAGGCGGAGGAAGGUGGGGACGACGUCAAGUCAUCAUGGCCCUUAUGUCCGGGGCUACACACGUGCUACAAUGGCGUAUACAGAGGGCAGCGAGACAGCGAUGUUAAGCGAAUCCCAUAAAGUACGCCUCAGUUCAGAUUGUAGUCUGCAACUCGACUACAUGAAGUCGGAAUCGCUAGUAAUCGCAGGUCAGCAAAACUGCGGUGAAUACGUUCCCGGGCCUU